rnacentral:rRNA from 1 species
GAUGAACGCUGGCGGCGUGCCUAAUACAUGCAAGUCGAGCGGACAAACGCCUAGCUUUCUGGUGGGAGUGUAGCGGCGGACAAGGGAUGAACACGUGGAUAACCUACCGAUCACACUUGCAGAACUUCGGGAAGCCGGAGCGAAUACCGCAUAAUAUUUUGAACCUCAUGCUUCAAGGGUCAAGGACAGAUUUGCUUUCGCUUGGAGAUGGAUCCGCGCCGCAUUAGCUAGUUGGUAAGGUAACGGCUUACCAAGGCGACGAUGAGUAGCCGGCCUGAGAGGGUGAUGGGCGGCACUGGAGCUGAGACACGGUCGAGACGCCUACGGGAGGAAGCAGUAGGGAAUAUUCCGGCACGGGCGAAAGACUGAUGGAGCAACGACGCGUGGGUGAUGAAGGUGUUCGGCUCGUAAAGAUCUUUUAUCAGGGAAGAAGAAAUGUGUAAGUAACUGUGCACGUCUUGACGGUAGCUAAUCAGAAAGCCACGGCUAACUACGUG